UACAGAGGUCUCAAGCGUUGUUCGGAAUCACUGGGCGUAAAGCGCGUGUAGGCGGCCUGCUAAGUCUGAUGUGAAAGCCCGAGGCUCACCCUCGGAAGUGCAUUGGAAACUGGCAGACUGGAGUCCCGGAGAGGAGGGUGGAAUUCCUGGUGUAGCGGUGAAAUGCGUAGAUAUCAGGAAGAACACCCGUGGCGAAGGCGGCUCUCUGGGACGGUACUGACGCUGAGACGCGAAAGCGUGGGGAGCGAACAGG
rnacentral:rRNA from 1 species